rnacentral:rRNA from 1 species
CACUCCUACGGGAGGCAGCAGUGGGGAAUUUUGGACAAUGGGCGAAAGCCUGAUCCAGCAAUGCCGCGUGUGUGAAGAAGGCCUUCGGGUUGUAAAGCACUUUUGUCCGGAAAGAAAUCCUUGGCUCUAAUACAGUCGGGGGAUGACGGUACCGGAAGAAUAAGCACCGGCUAACUACGUGCCAGCAGCCGCGGUAAUACGUAGGGUGCGAGCGUUAAUCGGAAUUACUGGGCGUAAAGCGUGCGCAGGCGGUUUGCUAAGACCGAUGUGAAAUCCCCGGGCUCAACCUGGGAACUGCAUUGGUGACUGGCAGGCUAGAGUAUGGCAGAGGGGGGUAGAAUUCCACGUGUAGCAGUGAAAUGCGUAGAGAUGUGGAGGAAUACCGAUGGCGAAGGCAGCCCCCUGGGCCAAUACUGACGCUCAUGCACGAAAGCGUGGGGAGCAAACAGGAUUAGAAACCCGAGUAGUCCCAUGAU